GCAGCCUGGGUGACUGAGACAUUGACUCAAAAAAAAAACUUUUUUUUGCUUAUAAUUAUAUAUCUUUUUAGUUUUCUUCACAGGAAAAAAGCCAAUUCAGUAUUAAAAUGCUACCCAAGAUUGACGGCAAAUACAAAGAGGAAGUCUGCAUAUUCAAAUAGGCGAGACAAACUUUUGAAAAUAACAAUUAAAAAAAGUCUCCUCUCUCCACUCAGGAGGGAUUUGAAAAUUAACAAAGAGGAAGUCAUGUGAGGGUCUCAAGCUCACCUCCUUCAGAGUCGCAACCUGUGGCUUGUGUGAAAUGAACACGUGGGAC
rnacentral:lncRNA from 13 species